rnacentral:lncRNA from 1 species
CUAUCAUAGGUUUAUGACUUGUCCGGAGGAUGUUAGCUCUGUUUUAUUUGAGGAUGUUAUUGGGUCUGCGCAUCCACGUUUUGUUAGAGUGUAGUUUUUUGUUUUGUUUUUAAUUCUAGGAAAUUUCCCCUUUCUUCCACCAAAAAAAAAAAAAAUAAGAAAACAAAUCGCAAAACAUAAAUAAUAUGGCCGUUGGAGCUUUGAUGACAAUUUCGGCCAAAAUAAGGAAAGUCUCUUCUCUU